GAACCUUUUGAGCAGACUCUCAUGGCGUCAUGUUCGCAAAUUCUAUGCGUAAACACGGUAAUAUUAUUUUCCAUUACAAAAAAACAGGGAGACUGCGACAUUUUCUCAUGGGUUUUUUUUGGUUUCUCCUUUUCUGGUCAAUGGCUAAUCUCAGAGGUCGGUAAAUAAUGGGUUUAUCCAUGAAAUAACUUAUCCAAAACAAUGCAAGAUUGCAGUGCCGUAUUCAUCAUCCCAAACCUUAGAACAAGAUGGUACAGGAGCCUCACUGCCACCUACCAGCUGUGUUGCGAGGAAUAGAUAAAUGCACCACUAGAGCUAUCAAGAUGGGCCGACCCACC
rnacentral:lncRNA from 1 species